GUAAGUAAACACUCGCUUCUAAAGUUUUUAUACUCAAGAAGCUGUACUAUACAAUCACUAUGGAAUUGGUUGAAUAAACCUUAUUUGAUGACAAUGUUUUAUAUUCGUUAAAAUGAAAAAUAUGUUUUGCGUACUUUGAAUGAUUGUCGUGGUUCUAAUAUGUUGACAGUUUUUAAAUUGUUUUUGGAACAGUACAAAAGUGUGUUCGACAUUCAUUGAGUUCGUGGUUACGGCAAAGUGGUGUGCCUAAGGACAACUAAACCUCCCCGUUUCAAGUUUACGUGAUACUUUAGCCAUAGUCGGUAAUGACAUCCGCAAGCAGUAUUGAGGAAGUUGAAAACGAACAACUAGAAGCUUUGUUGAUAGAAUGUGUACGCCUACGACCUGUUUUAUAUGACAGGGAUCAUGAAGAUUUUAGGAAUAAUGAUAAAAAGGAAGAAACAUGGAGGGAGAUUUCAAAUAUUAUGGAUGUGCAAGUGGUUGACUGCAAGCUGAAAUGGAUUCGCCUGAGGGAAUACUUUGCCAGAUUCUUGCGGUGCAACCCGAAAACAAAGCAUUACUCGGAAGUGAAGAAACCGUGGAUCCACCUGGAGCGGAUGUGGUGGUUGAAGAACUACGUGAGAAAGAGGAAAGUGAAAUUGACAGAACGGCGAAUGCACAAUAAAUUGAACGGCAUUGCCAAAGAGUCGUUUAAGGAAAUUUGGGAUCCCGAUGUGUCUUACUUAUCGACAACAGAAGUGGUGCUAGAAGAAUCUGUAACCACAUCGGACAUUAACGAAGAUGAGGAAACGUUAGAAAUUCGAGAAAAUGCUGGUGUGACAGAAAUGUACUACCCGGAAGGUUCUCAGGAAGUCACCAUCAACAGUUCCUACAAAAACAUGGGCUCAUUUGUGGAUGAAAGGGACGUAAAAAAACGCGAUCACAAGUAUGCGAAGCAGGGUGGUGACAAAGAAGUUAUAACGCAGGCAAACACACUUGGGAAGGUGAUCAAGAAGAGGAGAGAGGACCGUUUCAGGGACGUUUCCGAUCCGUACGGGAACCAAAACUUCUGCAACAGUCUUGUGCCGAUGCUGGACCAGCUUUCGGCAGAACACAACAUUGACUGUAAGAUAGCCAUCAUGAAUAUAAUGAAACAGUUCAUCACUAAGUGAAUAUCAUUUUAUAAAUGAUAUUGUAGUAGUUCAGCAAAUGGAUACCUGCAGUUAUUGUGGAUAGUUAAUACUGUAACUAUUAACAUUACUACAUAAUAAAUAGCAAAUUUAUCAAAUUUAUAUGGCCAGUGAUAGUUUUCCUUAAAACUUGCCAAUACUAGUUUUUUUUCAUGCAAAGGAAAUAUCAAAUCAAAUGUUUCAAAUAUUCGCAAAGUCAAAUUGAAUUGACAAAUAUUUUUUCUCCACUCCACUUAUUUUCAUAAAAUACUGAAAUGAAGUAAAAAAAUAUAAUAUAUAUACAAUUUGUAAUGAUUUUACUUAUUAUAAAACCAGUUGGGUUCUAUAUUUAUCAAUAAUCAAUAUACAUUGAAAGAUGAUCAUGCAUAAAAUUAAUAUCGUGCAUUCAUAAAAGUAGACCUGAGUGCCACUUUUUUUAAGUAACCAACAUUAUUGAUGCUAAACUUACAUAACACCCAAAAAAUUAUUAUUUAACUAAGGUUUUACCCGUUAUAAAAAUAAUGAUAGUUCAGCAUUUUAAAAUUUCACUUUAUGUACUAAAAAAAUAUUAUAAAAUCAGUUGCAAAAAUUUAUUUUAACCUUUUUUAAAAAAAAGAAAUCGCAUUAUUAAAGUAAAUACCAAAAAAAAUACAAUGUAAAAGACUUUCUUCUUGCUAUACAAAGCACAAAGAGCAUUAUCAUAUUGCCCCAAUACAUCAAUACUAUCGAUUGACACUCUAAAAGAAAAAAAAAUACACAUGAGAUAUUUAAAUAAUUGGUUUUCAUAAUAAUUUCCUUUGUGUGUUACUAAUCUGUGACUUACAGUGAGAAAUUUAUCAUAAAAUGGUGUUAACCUCGAAUGUUAAGAAACUUAAAAAAAUGUUUUCUGUUAAGUGUAAUUUAGGGAAUAUUUUACAAUAAUUUAAAAUAAAAUGUACUUUCAAAAAACCUUGCAAAUUGCUGGAAAACGUAAAUUGGAGGUUUCUUGGUAUUAAUGUUGCUGGUCAUACCAAACUGACAACUCAACUUCAGUUAUGUUAAUUUGCACUUCCGAAAUUAAAAAAAAACACAAUUUCAAAUUUAGAAACUUUGGGUUUAUAACUGAGAAGAAGCAAAACUUGGGCUUCCAAUCAUGGGCGUAGAUCCCGGGGGGGCCAGGGGGGCCCGGGCCCCCCCUGGAAUUAAUGGGCCCCUCCUUGGGGGGGCCCACUUCGUGAUUUUAAAGUUAAUGGUGUACACAGCAUAUAUAUCAGAUUAUUAUUUACAACGACGACAGACACUUUGACAUGCUUUAUAUUCCUACCUUUGAGUUCCGUAGUUAUUUUCCCCUACCCCUUCUGCGAAAGCCAUGGUAUGGAGUUUUCCAGUGAGAACUUUGAAACCCUUAAUUCCUAGAAACCGUUCAUUCCAAAGGACGAAGCUAGGGUAGGGUUCCGUUAGCAUUUCCUCCCCAUUGAUACCCACACUACCUUGUCCUCUGAAACGACAGUAUUAUAGGUUUCAGGUAGUCUGUUUUUAAAGUGGUUUUGCUCUCGUGUGCGCCAGUCUUCUGCUUUCUUGGUAAACAUCAACAUGGAUAAUUUCGUGACGCGGAAGAAACGGAAAACAGAAUCUGAUUCUCACCUGGUAAGCUUGAUUGUUUUAUAAGUAGUGACUAUUAUUUAGGUAAUAUAUUUUAUUUAAGUGAUUAUGUAACGUUAUUUUUUCCAGUAAAUAAACAACUUAAUACUUUAACAGUAAUUAUAGCAGAAUUUAGUUUAUUUACGAACUGAAACUUAUAUACCAUUACUGGAAUUUUUUUUAGCUCAUCUCCAUUCUGUAAGGCUAGCUGCUCUGUACGUUACAUGUGAAUAUACAGGGAAUAAUUUUUUUCCUCGUCAAUAUGGAAUUUAAAAUCACUCCCCUUUUAUUAUCAAACGAUAAUUUUCACAAUUCAUGGCCGAUAAUCACUUUAUAACAUUUGUUAUUUGAUAACUGCAACACUGCACGAGUAAACAAAAGUAAGAUUGAGAAAGAAGUAUUUAAACGUUACACAUCCGUAUUUAAGUUAAUAAGGAAGCAAACGCGUCUCUUUAAUAACUAAUCAAGCGGUAUAUUUUAACUAAAUAAUAUUCACUGCCAAAAUACUGAUUAUACUAAAAAUAAGCCGAGAAAUGUAUGUGGUUCAAUUAGCUGUAGGAUAAAUUUCAUAGUUCUAUCUACGAGAUUUUUCAUUUGUGUCAUUAAGUUUUUUUUUCUUUUUUACCUGGUUGAUGCCUUUACUAAAUAAAAGAGUCUUUAAGGGUUUUAAUAUGAUUCGAUCGUUCAUUUGAUGUUGAUCCGUUUAUUAGCUUUGGAGCUUUGGGUUUUUACGGCACAUCAAAAACUGUGAACAAAGAAUUUCACGAACAGCAUUUGAAUCGCAGUAAUUAUGUGAUGUGGCAUAAAAAAACCUGACAAAGUGCGAGUCGAACUCGCGCACGAAGGGUUCCGUACCAUUAUCUAUAAAAACGGCAAAAAAAAUCAUGUCUGUUGUAUGGGAUUGGGAGCCCCACUUAAAUAUUUAUUUUAUUCUGUUUUAGAAUUUCUUGUUAUAGCGGCAACAGAAAUACAUCAUUUGUGAAAUUUUAUUCUGUUUUCACGUUUGUUGUAUGGGAUCCCCCUUAAAAAUUUGUUUUAUUUUAAUUUAAUCAUUUAUUUUAAAGUGAAUAUAUAACUAAAUAUUCUGUGAAUAUUUCAAGCGUCUACCUGUUGCCGUUUUCAAUAUCAAGCAAAAACGAACAAAAAAAUCACGUUGGUUGCAUGGGAGCCUCCUUAAAUAUUUAUUUUACUAUGUUUUUAGUAUUUGUGUCUAACUAUCACGGUUCAUGAGAUACAGCCUGGUGGCAGACGGACAGACAGACGGACGGACAGCGUUAUAUUCACGUAUAUUAUUUUAAUAGAUUUUUUCAUGGAUAUUUUAUGUAUUUAGGUUAGCAAAUUAUACAAACAUGUUUGAGAGAUCAUUUCUUAUAGUCAUUAAUUAAUAAUUACUAAAACAUAUGUUGCUCUGCUUUAUUGUUAAUAUCACUUACGUAAAAAUAAAGUGUAUAACAUACGAGCUUAUCAUCCAGAGAAGACUUGUUUCGGUUGACCUCUAGCGCAAAAUUCUUAAACCACAGAAUUCACGGGCCCCCCCUGGAAAUCCUACAGAUUUGCGCCCAUGCUUCCAAUGUUUUUAAGCUUCGCAACAAACCCAAAGCUCCACAUCAGACACGUAGCUUCGCACACAUUCAAAGCUUCAAAUAAAUUGAUAUAAGAUUUCCUGGCGAAGUCAAAUCAAAUAUUAAAAAGAGCUUUCAGCUCAUUUGAUUAGUCGAAGCUUCGAACAGGCCUACGUUAAACUAGAAUUCAGUGGUAUAUAAAAAUGGACCAGUAGACCAAUUUAGUCUGUAUAACCAACCCAUAAUUAAUAAUAACAGUAUAAUAGACUCUCUUUUGGUCCUCGUCCAGUUAUCAAGCUGCCUUACCAAAUCACUAAGUAAACUAUUUGUGCUCCAUAAGCUGCAUCUGAGUUAGAUGUGUGCAUCAUAUUUAAUUUUAAAUUUUUUUAUUUAUGUGCAUUGCUAGAGGUAACUCAUAGAAACAGGUUUGCCUACUGGUUCAUUACUAUUUAUAUACACUUAAUUAUAUUUUUGGUUUUUACUGUAACCGUUUCCUAUUCCGAGGCUAAGUGUUUGUUUAAUGAUUCUGUUGUUUCAGAUAUGUUGGUAGUAGUACCAAUGGUGAAAUCUCAUUGUGCCACUGGUUUAAAUCAGUUGCUUUAGUGAAAUUUCAAGUAUGAUUAAGUUUGUCAAUGCAUCUGUUAUUUUUCAUUUUGAGUUCUCCUUUUCACUUAUUUUACUUUAUACUGAAGUUGGAGUCUGAAUUUUGUGGAUGUGGUCUAUACUUAGUUCCGUAUUCUACAUUGUGUAAGUAAGAGUUAGAAUUCUGUUUUUCAAAAACCAAUUCAAAUUUUUUUUUUUAAGUUUGUUUAGAAACAAUAAUGCUGGAUAAGUAAGUUUAAGUUAGAUUAUACCAUACUUUAAUAUCCAUGGAUUGAACAGAAUGGAUUAUGUAGUUGAACCAUAUUUUAUUAAUGCAAUGUUAAACGUAUUUCUUAUGAAUUUUAUUUUUAUAUAAAUACCAUUGCUACAUUGAAUUGCUGCUGGGAGUCAUCAUAAUUAAUGGUUAUAUUGAUCCUAAAAAAUGUUAAUGUGCACAAGAAAAUAUUUACUGUCUUUUUUUUAUUCAGGUAUGAUGAUCAAGUUUACUCUUGGCUAGAUUGUAUGUGUCAACUGUAAAUUGUUACUAUUGUGAUACAGUAGUAAAAAAAGAUGAAAUACCCAAAUUUAUUACUUUUUUCGUCCUAAAUUUUUUUCUAAUUAUUUAAAAGUAAAAGUUGUUUACCGUUAGUAUAUCCUUUUAAUGGUUGCUUAGGUUUGGUUAGCUACAUUUAAAAUGCAGCCAAAUAAUUUGGAAUUUUGGUUAUGUUAGGUUAACUAGAUUUUAAAUACAAUAAAAUAUUAGGAUUCAUUUGGUUAGGUUAGCUACUUUUAAAAUAAUGUAAACUUUUGAUAACAGGUGGUUAACUAAGCUAAAUUUUAAAAUACUGUAAAAUUUUGUGAGCUGUUGUGUUAGUGGCGUUUAAAAUACUGAAUGCAGUAUUUCACAAAUUCCAUUUUUUUAUUUUUUUUAUUUAUCAUUGUGUCAUAAUAGUAACAAAUUAAUAUUUUAAAAGACUGAUAGGUAUUAGUGAUGUUAGAUACAUUGUUUGGUUUAAGAAAAACACAUUGUAUUGCCAAACUUAUUAGGUUAAUUUAUUGAGGCAUAUGUAAUAAGGAGAAUUAAGGAACCAUGUGAUAAAGCUAGUGUUAGGAUAUAUUUACUGAACAGUGAUUUGUCCUGGUUACACCAUGCAGGUACAUUAAAGUCACAUAUUUUUUAGCAAUAAGCUUUGAUUGUCGCAGACUUCCGUGUAAUUGCAUUAUGAAAUACAAGUUCUGACUUUUUUUUCUCCUCCAAACCACUGAGAAUAAAAGUUCUAAGGCCACAAAAAUGCAGUCAUUUAAAUUUAGAUAACUAAUCAAUUUGUACUUAAGAUGAUUUGUUAAUUUGUGCAUAUUUCAUCACUGAAAUUUCUGUUUUCUGGUGUUAUAAUUAUAAUUUUAUGAAAGUUUGAAGUGAUUAAAGCUUCCACAUGUCUUAUUUGACUAGUUGUCUUAUGUAGCAUUGAGAAUGAAUGUCUGGUGUUAUUUAUGAUGCUUUAGCACCAAAGAGGAUGAAGAAUUAUCUUAUAUAUAAAAUUCUCGUGUCACAGUUUUCGUUGCCAUACUCCUCCGAAAUGGCUUGACCGAUUUUGAUGAAAUUUUUUGUGCUUAUCCGGUAUCUAUGAGAAUCGGCCAACAUCUAUUUUUCAUCCCCCUAAAUGUUAGGGGUAGUCCACCCCUAAUUUUUUUUUUUUUUUAAUUUUUGGAGAAAUUUUUUUAUUUUAUUUUUUUUAUAAUGUGGCAUUAAAAAAUACACACAACCCUAAAUUUUCACCCUUCUACCCCCAACCCCUAAUUUUUAAUAGAAUUUUAUAUUUUUCAACCCCGGUCGAUAGCUGAUCAAUUAACACUUGAUCAACCUUCCCCGCCUACAGCGAGCUCAUUAUCUGGAUUAACACAUAAACCACAUAUUAAUAUGAAAUUCCAUCCCUAAGGGAGUGAAAAAGUGAUAAUUUCAUUUUAUAACAGAAAAAAUCAUAGGUCAUAGACAUACAAAUAGUGAGUGAGUGUCAUUUCUCUAUGUCUGCCACACGAUCAUACACAUAGUAAGGUCUUGCAAAUUUAUAUUUUUCUCCUUGGUGAGACCAGCCCGCUUAGUGGAGCUCGCAGCGGCUAGCAAAAUAAAGGCGCUCAUAACAGUUUUCUUCUUAACUUUGUUAAUAGAUAGCGUUGCCUUGAAUUUUAAACGCACCAUCGUUUGAUGCGUUUGUCAUGUCUUUAAUUUUGUUUGUGCCGUAUGCGUUCCUAUAUACCAUUCAUCCGAUUGCGAUGAAAUUUUGGUGAGUUGUUAUGCGCAUGCCCGUGAAGGUUUCUGAGACGGUAUAACUAUUUUGCAAUAGUUGUAGUACAAAUCGUUUCAAAAAAUGUGUUUAUUUCAUAUUAUAUAGCGGCACUUCGUCUGUUUUUGUAGUAUAAGUGCGCACGCAUGACACAAUUUAUUUAAAUAUAAAAGAGAGACAGAGAUAGAGUGAUAUAUAUAGAGUGAGAUAGAGAGAGACAGAGAGAUAAGUUGAGAUAGAGCGAGGUAUAGAGAAUGAAAUGGGUUAGAUAAAGAGAUAUAUAGAUGUAUAUAGCUAUAUAGAGAUUUAUAUAUAAAAGAGAUAGAGAUAGUGUGAGGUAUAUAUGUAAAUAUGUAGAUAUAAUGAGAUAAAUAGCGAUAGAGAGAUGCAUAGAUAUAUAAAGAUGUAGAUAGAGAUAAAUAUAUGUUUAGAGAGAUGGAUAGAUGAUUUGUAUAUGUGUAACUACUUCAAACAUAUUACAAAACAUAGCUGAAUGAGGCAUUGCAAUGCAUGUCGAGCAUUAGCUAGAUAAUUGAAUUUUUUCUAUAUUUGUAAUCUCUUAUUUUUAAGCUUUUUUCUAUAUUACUUUAUAGAGUCUAGAUUACAUACAGACCAGGUAAAUAACUAUAAACUGGCAGAGCAACGUCUGUCGGGAUCUGAAAGUGAUAUAAAUUAUUUUGCACACUUGACAUUCAAAUUAAGAAGACAAUUACUAACUACAUCUGAUUUCGAAAAAGGUACCCUUCAUCAUGUAUUCAGCCCGGGCAACGCCGGGUACUGCAGCUAUAAAUUCCCUAGAAAUAAUUUAUAUGGCAAAACAACGUUUGCCGGGUCAGCUAGUUUUUUAAAUAAAUUAAUGUGCUUUUUUUUCUGUUGCAGAAUUUAAAAGUUAGGUAGUUGGAACUAAUCUUCUCCCUUCUGCAGGGUGGCCAAAACUCAUGAGGUGAAAAAUGUUUCAGACUAAAAAAAAUUCCCCAAUACAUACUUCAUUUCAACAUGAGUUUUAUUUUUUCAGAUUAUUCAGUGUAAAAAAAUUAUCACUUUAAUUACCUGCAUGAUACUUUACUGAUUGAUUGUUUAUGUUCUUCGCUAAUGAUGCUAAUACUUUGUGAUGUUUUAUCAGUAUUAUGUAUUUCUUUAACAUCCAAGUUAUUAAAAUUUUUACCCAGAUUUUGGAUAUUUUCCAGUGGCCUUGGGUCUUUUAUAUUAUAUAGUUACAAAUUGUAUUUCCCAUUAUUCCUUAAAAUCUGAAUUUUUAAUUACUGUGUUGUCUUACAAAGUGGAAAAAAAUAUAUUUUGUUUUUCUCUCAGGCAUACGUUGAUGUGUUUCAUGUACUGCUGAAAAGAUGGUAACAUAAUUUCUUCCUACAUAACUGUGGUUUCUUCUUAAAUCCAAACUUUGAAAAAAUUACAUUUCUGAACGUUUGAUUACAACUUAAAGAAUAUAUAUGUUAAGGAUUUUUAGAUGUGCACGGCAUACAAUAUGUUCAUUUUGUAUUGCACAGUACAGGUUGAAAUUUCUGGAAACAUGCUUUCUAAGUUAUUUAUCCAAUUUUUUUUAUUACUUAAGUUAUUUUUUUAUAUUUUACCUUUUUAUAGUAAGAAUCUGCUUUUGGUUCAAAUUUUAUUUUGUCAUAAAUGUGGUCAAUUUUGUUAGAUUGGAACACACUUAUGAUUUAUUUAAAAUAUUAAUUACAUGUUUAUAAUUUUAUUUUUGCACUUAAUUAUAUCUCUCUUUCCAGAGUGACUUAAUUUAGACUUGUUGUACCAGCUUGUCAUAAGAAGCUUGAUUCAAGCUUGAAUACAAGAUUGACGUAAGCUUUUUAUAAGCCUGAUCACAGCCAGGGGUGCAUGUGCCACUGGUACAAAUCCAGACAUGCACAAGCACCAGUGCGGACCGCAAGGUCCCAGUUACCGACCCCGGCUUGGUUGGAACUUUCUGCUCUGACAAACUCUCAUUCCUGGAUCAUCCUUCUUGUCCGGUACUGAACCUGCCUGCUUAAUGCAUGCAAAAUAACCCUGCAUAAAUGAGCCCAGGGGUUUCCCUUGUGUGUCUGUAGGUUUUACCUGCACUCAACUAGUUAUAGUCUAGAUCUAAGAGUUAGUCAUGGCAUCAAUUGAUGCUAUGGCUAGCCAGUCCCCAAAUAAAGCACAUGAUGCAUGCUACUCUCUCUUCAUGCAAGAUGCACUUAGGGCCGGUUUCACAAAGUCUGGUUAUCGUCCGAUUAUCUUCUGAUUAAAAUGUAAGUGCCGGUUAGCAGAAUUACCUGUUUCUCAAUAUAGGGUUAACAGUAAUCGGCCGAUUAACUGAUGGUAAUCUAUGGUUAAGUCAAACAGAAGAAGAGGUUCCGAUUAGUUGGCUACUGCUGAUAGUUUUGAGGUUAUGUAUAUUUUUUAAGCUGUUUGAAACCAUAUGGUGUGCAAAACAGAGAUAAUUGAUUGAAGUGCCACAGUGAUGAUGGCGAAUGAAUUGAACAUUUUGUUUGAAGAUGAUGAUGAUGAUGAUGAAAUUGUUAAUUAUUUAAAUAGACCACGAAUAUUUCGAGUAAGGCCAAAUCACUUUCAAAUGAAUGACAGUGAUUUUGCUAUGAGGUUUCAGCUUAGAAAAAUACGGUCCUAGCACUGUUGAAAAAAAUAGAAAGACAGUUGGAAGUGCCCACAGACAGGUUAGUGAUGGCUUUUUUUUUUUUGUUAAGCUAUUACAAGCAAACAAAAAAAAAAGUACUUUUUGUGUGAGCUUCCAUUUGAAAUUUAUUUGGCUAUGUAAACAUGUGAGUAUAAACAAGUAUUUUUGUUUUCAGAAAUUUUUCUCUCUCUCCUAUUGAUUAACUUCUAGUAUCCUUAAGGUUUUAUGCAUCUGAUGGAUUUUUAAUUUCCAUUGGUGAAUACUUCGGUUUACACAAGAGCACUGUAUGUCGUAUUGUAAAAAAGGUUACUCUUGUGAUAGCAAUGCUCCGCAGAAAAUAUAUUGCAUUUCCCGAGACAGAUGAACAAUAUCGGCUGUUACAUGAAGAAUUUUACAAUGUGGCACGGUUUCCAAAAGUAAUUGGAGCUAUUGACUGUACCCACAUCAAAAUUAUUUCUACAGGUAUGAAGACUUACGUAGUGUUUAGUAGGCCUAAUUAUAUAUUUGUUAUAUACAUUAAUGUCCAAGGGCAGCCAUCGGUAAAUAUGUAGUUUAGGGGUAUUCCUUAAAGAAUAUACUUAAAAAUCCUAACAUAACUUCAUUCCAUUCUCUAACCAUCCUGAAUUUAAUAAAAUAAAAAAUAAAAAACAGAGAUAAGAAAUUCCAAAUAGUUUAGGAGAAAUCACAGUUUUUAUUUUCCAUCACUAUACCUUUGCAUUCAUGCUGUUGCCGCAAUUGUUUUGUUAACAUGUUGGUAACUGCCUCAACCGUGUGUUUUUACUUGCUGGUCACAAUAUCUAAUUGUUUUAUAUUUAAUUUUUAUAUUUAAUUUAUUUUAUUUUCUUUUUGGUACUUAAUUGGUAAAUUUAAUUCCUUGAACUAUUCUGAAAUUGCACUGUCGAGCUAGCAAGUGUUAAGUUGUACACUAUACUGCACGCUUUCGGUAAUGUUCGGGCCGAGCCGAAGAAUUCCGAGUGGAAUGCUCCGAGUGAAGGCCGCGAGGAAUGGGGACUGCUCGAUGUGACGCCGAAGUGGACGGACCGCAAGGGGCGGGUGCCUGCGCUGAACGAGCGUGGAGGUUUCGACGGCCGGGCCGCGUUGGAGAGACGUGAGGCAAUGGACAUCACUGGUGCCCCGGGGUGGAGAAGUGCCGCGGCAGCGGUGAACUUGCUGUGACUUUGAAAGUAAGGCUAGAGACCCUUAUUUAUUUUCUGGUGAUGGUUCGCCUGGACGGAAGGUGGAGAAAAAAUCACAAUUUGACUUAUUGCUACGUGAAGCGAUCAUGACUGUGUCUAACAUCAUGUGCUAACGUGAUUAAUACUAUCAACAACUUAUAAUUACUUCUGAAUAAAUGUGCUCCAUAUAGUUCGAUAUAUUAGUGCAAAAACAAUAUGGAAAAUACUGUUUGGUAAAAAUGGCCAUGUAGACUUUUUGUAAGAACUUUCAUAAUAAUAGUUUCUCUUUUUAGUAAAUCCAUGCGCAUGGUGCUGUUGCUAUUAUAUACCCUGUAUGACUUAUUAAUUUUUCAUGUCAGUGCUAAAUGUAUGUCAUUAUUGUACGGCGUCAUCACUCGCGGUGAUAUGUCAUCACUCGCGGUGAUAGUAUACCAUUAAAUUCAUACACCGUACUUCUGUGUGUGCCUUACUUUACGUGUAGAGCCCAAUCGACCUCCUUCAAUUUGUUGCUUAUAGAAUUAUUUUUUGAAUCCCAUACACACAUGAUGGGGAAAGGGUACAUAUAAGUUGUUUUUUUUUCUACCUGUGGCGGUAUGUGUGGAAGGUUUUUUGUGGACUCCGGUAGCGAUCAAGGUCAUUGAGAUUUCUGAAGGCCGGGGUUACAGUUUCUUGUUUACUAGUAUCAAAUGUAUAUAUAUUUUUUUCAAUAGAUAAUGUUGUCACAUGACAGUCACGUCAUAGGCUAUUGAAAUGUAAAUAACAAAAAAUAAUUACGGGAGUCCCUACUGUUUAACCAAGCUCAGGCGUCAACCCUUGCCAGGGAUGUUUUUUAGCAGUAUGGAGACGCGGCGGAGCGCCGACUUGGUACGUGCGAUAGCAAGUAACUUGACGUAUAUAAGGAAUAAAAAUAUAAAAGGAAAUAUUGUAUCCAACAUAAAAAUUCCUUUUUUUGUCCAGUUACUUGCUAUCGCACGUAACAAGUCGGCGCUCCGCACCUCCAUACUGCUAAAAAACAUCCCUGGUAAGGGUUCACGCCUGAGCUAAGUUAAACAGUAGAGACUCACUGUUUUUUUUUUAUUUAACUUUUCAAUAGCCUAUGACGCCCGUCUUCAAAACCUGCAUCCCUUCUUCGCUGCACUUUUUUCGCACGUUUCAUGUUAUCGUAUUUUGCUUUCAAAGUUUCUUCAUUCCUUGGAAGUAUUCCAGACAAGGAAUCAAACUCUAAUGUAAUCCUUUGCCAUGCAUCUUCUUUUUGUCUCCAUGUAACCGCAUCGGUUUUCAUGCAUUCUAUGAUACUGGCAUACUUUUCCACUAACUCCUUUUCCGAAGCAAGAAUAUUUCCGGAUUGUGGCCGCUUAUUUUCGUCCAUACUGAUGUUUGUUUACAAUUUUCUCUAACCGAAACUUAAACACUGGCCAAAAGUAAUAAACGAAGGUAGCACAACAGCCAAUCGUGAUCCGAUACGUCAUCGCUUGGUUGCCAUAUUUCCCUUAACCAUUGUUUAGUUAAACACUCGUUAAAAGUACGUUGGGAAACAGUCAAAUGAUAAUCAGUACUUUAAUGCCCAGUUUAAAUUAAUCGUUUGAUUAGAUAACCAAAACUUUAAACAGACUUUGUGAAACCGGCCCUAAGUCUCUUUCCUAACCCAGACCCCCUCCCAAACAAAUACAUUUACUUUGUUAGGUUAGGAAAAAAAAUUGCUUUGCUCUGCUUCUCAACUAGCAGCAUUCCCCUACCAGAUAUUAAGCAUAACGGGGUUUAUAAACUACAAAAGAAUGCCGGAACCAUACCAUUCACAUAGUAUUUUCUAGAGCUGGGCCGAUCACCUAUUUUGCCGAUCAUGCCGAUGCCGAUCAUCUGCUGCCGAUCUUGCCGAUCUUCUGAGCCGAUUAGAGCCUUUCAAGUACCUCUGAUUACACGUUGCUUUUGACGGAUCACUAUAAACGGUGAAAUAUUCCCAGACAAAACUACUUUUCAAGGACAUGAUUACUUAAAAAUCACGACAUCAUAAAUUUCACGGACUAGCAAUUAUACAGGUAAGCCCGGAAGGUCUUGUCAAGCUUCUCAGACACCAGCGUGCAGCUGGGUUAAGGCCAAGGUCAUGUGACGUAACAUCUCCCGAGGCUUACUGCGCCUUCGCAGCAGAUGGAUAAAAAUAGUAAACAACCAAUUAUACGUGUUCAUUGGGACCCGCCGAUGCCCGGAUAAUUGAAAUUCUGUAAAAAAAAAAAAAAAUAAUAAACCCGGAUAAUCGGUUAACGGUAAGGGCCGCCUUCGAAUUGUUGUCUCGGCUUAAAAAAAUACGGCACUGGCUAGCCAUUAGUUCACGGUCAUUUACAACAGCCGAAGAGAGAAAGAUAAGAUCGUGCUGACAUUGUACACAUAAAUUUUGGGUAGCUCCCCACCCCCCUCUUCCCCCUCGACCAGCCGAAUGCCAGCCAGACACGUCACUCGCCAGGCGCCUGCCGUGCGUUGGCGGGCGGAAAGUGACUCAGCAGCACGUGAAACAACAUUCAAACAAACGGAAAACGGGAAGCAGAAGUCAGGACAUCCCCCUCAAGUUUAAAGAGUGACAAAUGUGACAGCUGAAAGGGGGGCGACACAAAGGGUCGGUACAAACAGCGUUGCAGUGUUUGCCGCCCGCCGGCCCGCGUGACGUUAAUUUUAAGCGCUGACAAUUUUAGCUUCUCUUUUUUUUCUGCACUUUUAAAUCGUCCCGGAUUAUCCGAUUCCCGUAUUAGCGCGUCACGGAUUAACGAGGUUCUACUGUGGGAAACAAAACUCUACAUCAACCAGGUUUUUAUACAAAAGAAAGUUAAGCUCUAUUUCCCGCUAAACAGGAUAAGAAUAUUAAUUUCUCUAAACAAAACUUUCAAUAGGCCAUAUUUAGCGAGAAAAAACUAAAUAGAUGAAUUCCCGAAGAGUAGUUUACUAACCACGAGACUACUAGCGCCAUUAAUCCGUACUAAUUCCGUCGCGCGACGCGCGUCACUCUAAUCUCUGGCGUCACAUAACCAACCUAAACAACAGUCGCCAUUCGCCAUUCCGGUAAUAUUAAUCGUAAAUGGUAAACAAAUACAUAAUUUUCGGUUCGUAAAUGAUAAAUAACUUUGCAAAUAGUAUAAUGGAAAAUUAUUUUACCGAAAGUACCGUAAAUAUACGUGGAAAUUGAUACUUAGGCCCGGCUAAGUGUGACACCGGCACGUGCAUUAAGUGUAAAAUCAUCUCUAAGAGCAAGACAGAUUCAGCAAGUUUCCUGUAAGUGUGCAAGUGUGUGAGAGAGUGCGAGUGAGUGAGUGUACGUGUGGAGCGCUCAUUUACACCAAACAUGUCAUUUGUACCCUAAAAUUGUUAAGAGUGGUUUAAAUUAGUUAAGAAAUGACCAUCCACAAAGCUUGUUGAGUUAUUGUCUUGAAAUAGAUUAUUACUUCACAGAAAAAAUUACAGCAUGUUUGUACAACACGAGUGAUGGUUGGUUAGGAUAUUCGUUCUGUUGAGAACAUAAUAAAAUUUUUGAUUCCACUUCUGUUAAAGUAGCACUUAGAGAAAUAAAUUUUACAUUCCUUCGCGGGACAUAUCCAAUCUCUUGCUAAAAUAAAUCUGGACCAAAAUAACAUCUUAAGUUUUUUCUAUAGCAUUGCUAUGACCAGCAUAAACCUUAAAUACAUUUUUACAGUUUUUAAUACUUUAUAAAUCAUAUAAAAUAACUUUGCUCUUAGAAGAUGUGAAUGGUGUCAAGAUGAAUUUUAAAAAAAAAUUCAUUAAGCUUAUUGUCACCAUAUAGUAUUGUGUUUGCCAAUUAAAUUAUUUAACUGUUAAUUUGUUUGUUCUAAAUAUUUUCACGUCCACACAAAGCCUAAGACAUGUGAAUGAUUAAAAAAAAAUCACAAUGCACAUCUCCAAAAACCAACAAGUUCAAUGUGGAAGCAUUAAUAAUUACAUACACUUCAGUUUCACUUUCUUAGCCAACAGCUACAAUUUUUUUAGUUAUCACACAAAAUGAACAUAACAUAAUUAAAAAAUAGAAUCCAAACUAGUGCUGAGCCGAUACAGAUUCUGAGCCUUUUCUGAUACUACCGAUACUGCCAAUUCCAUUACCGAUAUGUACUGCCUAAAUGUUUUUACUAGUGUGUUGGAUGUAGCCGACAUAUUUUACUUCAGAAAUAUAAUGCAAUAACACAAAUCAAUGACCAUAGCUUUAAAUAUAACUUAUAAAAUGUUUAAUAAAUGCAGAUUAGUUACUACAAUGAGGUAAAAACAGAACCUAGCCACCACAUUGGCUGCACUACGAAUGUUUGUACCUUGCUAGAGCUAUGGCAACGGUGGAAAUGCCGUUGCAUCUGGCAGCGCUGUGAUGACUUGCUCUUCCUUGGCCCUCAAUUGUUGUGGACGCCAUCUUGGUACAGCACCUUACUUGUUCCGUGAAGUACACAUCAUCGCUUCCGAACAGCUUGUUUUUAUUGUGAUAACGGCACCAAACAAUCAGUUUCAAAUUCGCUAAUAUCAUUUUUAAUAGUGUGCGAUACAUGUAUAUACUGCAAGAAGUUACGUUACAGUUUCUAAUGAAAAUGAAGUUAGCUAUACAGACGUGUUGCAUUGCUGCAGGCCUAUUAAACAAAAGGCUGUUACUAUAUUUACAUAAUUUUUCAAAGUCGUUGCUUAAACACGGGCCUAUGUUUGGAAAGUCACUACAAUACAAGCAAAGCUUCAUUUGCAUCACUUUUUGAACGUGUCGAGUUGAAAUUUUACAAUACCCGGCAUAACCCGAGUGAGUUCAUGAACUACUUGUGCCUUUUAUACUUUCAUAUUUUGAUUUUUUAACGCAUAAACAUACACUGUAGACUGUAACCAUAUUUUUUCUUUCUGUUCAGCGAAAAUUUUGUAGAAAUGGAUAAAUAAACUCGGUUGGGAUGAUGUAAUAAAAAUCAAUGUUUAAGUAUUAAAACGUACGAAUUUAUUGGUUUUAAUACCUGCAUUUUUUAUGUGAAUCGUGCACAACUCCGAUAUUGAUUAUAUCGGCCGGUUUUGAUAAUCAGAACCGGGUUCGGCUCAGCACUAGUUUAAAGGAUGCUACAGUGUUGCAAUUUUUGUUCUGGAAAUGACAUAGAAUUCUUUUCAGUGAUUGUGAAUUGUAAAAUUAUCUAUAAUAUGUAUACAGACAAACCUUACUAAUACCAAAAUAGAGGGACCAUAAAUUUGGCACUUUGUUAUAAUGAGGUUUGUAUAAACCUAACUAUUGAAUUUUAACUCUGUGAAAAACAAAUAAUUCAUAGACAAUCAAAAUAGUUAGAAAUGUUUUUCUCAUUUAAUAAAGACAUAAAAUUUAAAAAAAAAAAUUUGCCUUGUAAGAAAACUUGAUAGUAAUUAUACAUAUUAUCAGAAGUAAAGUAUAUGUAAAAAAAUUUCUACUGUUCUAUUCUUACAACAUAUACAUAACAUAUCUUCAUUUUUAAUUACUAUAAACUUUCUAAGAUGUUUCUGUAUCAUACAUUGGCAUAAGUAUUAUUUUAUUUGAAAAUGAAAUGGUGACUUCUCAUAAUUUUGUGAUAUUUGUACAAACAUUUAAUGUUUUUUUCCAGGGUACAAAAAACUUUGUAUUAAAUGAUAAGAACAAUAUUUUGUACUAGGUAAAUAAUCUGCUUAGCACUAUAACUUCUAUGUAAUUUCUAGGGACUGAGAAAACAUUUUUAUUAAUGUAAUGUUUCACUGAAGUACUAUUGUGUACUUAUUUUUGAGUAAAGUGGUUUCAUAAAAUUAAGAUUUAAAAUUUUUUAAAUACAUAGUAGUUAAUUGCAUUCUGCUAAUUGCGUGCUGGAAAAUUAUUCAUGUUGUCUCGCAGCCUUGUGUUUAGAAUGUUAGAGAGUAUUUCAUAUUGUUUAAAUUAUUAUUGUUUGUUUUAAAAAUUUUGUUUGUAUUGUUUGCUUUGUUGUUUAAAUUGAUUAUAUUGAUUUAUCGCAUAAUCAUAGCACCAUUAUUUUAGGGCGUCAAUAGAAAAAAAAUUCUCGCACAAACGUUACAUGAUGUUUUUGGUCCUGCACUGUUGAACAACAUUCGGUUUUGAAGUUGCUUUCAGGCAGUUUUGUAGUUAUAAUAGAUAAAUACAGUAUUACAAUUAAAAUGAACUGCUGCAAUAUGAAUUUCCUUUCAAUAUGGUGAAUUGUUUUAGUGCUAUUUGCUUUUUGCUCAAUAUAUAAGUUAUUUUUUCCAUGUAAGAUGUUGCCCAGAUAUUUUUUCCCCAAUAUAAAAUUAUGUAUUUUAAAGUUUAAAUCUAUAAUUUAAUAUGCUUUCUAGCUCAUGUUAGGGUUUUUGUCCUCUAUUUAAAGUUGAACUAAAUAGGUUUCUGUUGCAUGACAUAUUAAUGCAAAAAUUUUUUGGCUUGCUUUGCUUUUUUUGUAUACUUUGUUUUAAUUAAAAACAUUAUUUCCAUUUUAUGAAUAACUUUUCAAACGUGAUGCUAAUAUAAAAUGUGUGAAGAUUAUGCGAUAACACUAUGGUGAAGAGUAAUGGUACCUUGGUGAUGUGAUGAAUGAAGUCUUUAUAAUACUUAUUUAAUAAUAUUGUAACAGAUUCCUUGUUGAGUACACUUGUGUAGUAUUAUUAAAAAUAUAAAUAAAUUUUGUUUUGAACAGGAAA